AUUGAACGCUGGCGGCAUGCUUUACACAUGCAAGUCGAACGGUAACAGGCCUUCGGGUGCUGACGAGUGGCGAACGGGUGAGUAAUGCAUCGGAACGUGCCCAGAGGUGGGGGAUAACGCAGCGAAAGCUGUGCUAAUACCGCAUGUGAUCUGAGGAUGAAAGCGGGGGACCAAGCAGCAAUGUUUGGCCUCGCGCCUCUGGAGCGGCCGAUGUCAGAUUAGGUAGUUGGUGGGGUAAAGGCCUACCAAGCCGACGAUCUGUAGCUGGUCUGAGAGGACGGCCAGCCACACUGGGACUGAGACACGGCCCAGACUACUGCGGGAGGGAGCAGUGGGGAAUGUUGGACAAUGGGCGCAAGCCUGAUCCAGCAAUGCCGCGUGCGGGAAGGAGGCCUUCGGGUUGUAAACCGCUUUUGUACGGAACGAAAAGGCUCUGGCUAAUACCUGGGGCUGAUGACGGUACCGUAAGAAUAAGCACCGGCUAACUACGUG
rnacentral:rRNA from 1 species